AACGAACGCUGGCGGCAUGCCUAACACAUGCAAGUCGAACGAGACCUUCGGGUCUAGUGGCGCACGGGUGCGUAACGCGUGGGAACCUGCCCUUAGGUUCGGAAUAACUCCCCGAAAGGGGUGCUAAUACCGGAUAAUGUCUUCGGACCAAAGAUUUAUCGCCUUUGGAUGGGCCCGCGUUGGAUUAGCUAGUUGGUAGGGUAAAAGCCUACCAAGGCGACGAUCCAUAGCUGGUCUGAGAGGAUGAUCCGCCACACUGGGACUGAGACACGGCCCAGACUCCUACGGGAGGCAGCAGUGGGGAAUAUUGGACAAUGGGCGAAAGCCUGAUCCAGCAAUGCCGCGUGAGUGAUGAAGGCCUUAGGGUUGUAAAGCUCUUUUACCCGGGAUGAUAAUGACAGUACCGGGAGAAUAAGCUCCGGCCAACUCCGUG
rnacentral:rRNA from 1 species